UACGAAGGGUCCAAGCGUUAUCCGGAUUUAUUGGGUUUAAAGGGUGCGUAGGCGGUCCUAUAAGUCAGUUGUGAAAUACGGCAGCUUAACUGUCGAGGUGCAAUUGAUACUGCAGGACUUGAGUACAGACGAGGUAGGCGGAAUUGACGGUGUAGCGGUGAAAUGCUUAGAUAUCGUCAAGAACACCGAUAGCGAAGGCAGCUUACUAGACUGUAACUGACGCUGAGGCACGAAAGUGUGGGGAUCAAACAGG
rnacentral:rRNA from 1 species